AGCUUUGCGCAGUGGCAGUAUCAUAGCCAAUGAGGUUUAUCCAAGGUGCAAUUAUUGCUAAUUGAAAACCUAAAAGUAAUGUCUCAAUAAUAUAUCUCUAUUUCUUUUUUUCACCUAUUUGGUGCUUACCAAAAGG